rnacentral:tRNA from 1 species
CAGUGUGGUUCAGUGGUUAGAGCACUUGCCUAGUAUGCAUGAGGCCCUGAGUUUCAUCCCUAGCACUG